rnacentral:rRNA from 1 species
UCAGGCCUAACACAUGCAAGUCGAGCGCGCCUUCGGGUGAGCGGCGGACGGGUUAGUAACGCGUGGGAAUAUGCCCAAAGGUAGGGAAUAGCCUCUGGAAACGGAGAGUAAUACCCUAUGUGCCCUUCGGGGGAAAGAUUUAUCGCCUUUGGAUUAGCCCGCGUUAGAUUAGGUAGUUGGUGGGGUAAUGGCCUACCAAGCCUACGAUCUAUAGCUGGUUUUAGAGGAUGAUCAGCAACACUGGGACUGAGACACGGCCCAGACUCCUACGAGAGGCAGCAGUGGGGAAUCUUGGACAAUGGGGGCAACCCUGAUCCAGCCAUGCCGCGUGAGUGAUGAAGGCCCUAGGGUCGUAAAGCUCUUUCGCCAGGGAUGAUAAUGACAGUACCUGGCAAAGAAACCCCGGCUAACUCCGUGCCAGCAGCCGCGGUAAUACGGAGGGGGUUAGCGUUGUUCGGAAUUACUGGGCGUAAAGCGUACGUAGGCGGAUCGGAAAGUUGGGGGUGAAAUCCCGGGGCUCAACCCCGGAACUGCCUCCAAAACUAUCGGUCUAGAGUUCGAGAGAGGUGAGUGGAAUUCCGAGUGUAGAGGUGAAAUUCGUAGAUAUUCGGAGGAACACCAGUGGCGAAGGCGGCUCACUGGCUCGAUACAGACGCUGAGGUACGAAAGUGUGGGGAGCAAACAGGAUUAGAUACCGUGG